AGUUUUCCGUAUUCAUGCAGACGUUUCGUCAGAUACCAGGCCAUUAGGACUGAGAGACUCCCAAGACAAGUGAAGCA
rfam:Schistosoma rodhaini strain Burundi genome assembly, scaffold: SROB_scaffold0000929